rnacentral:rRNA from 1 species
UUACGGAAGGCAGCAGUGGGGAAUUUUGGACAAUGGGCGCAAGCCUGAUCCAGCCAUUCCGCGUGCAGGAUGAAGGCCUUCGGGUUGUAAACUGCUUUUGUACGGAACGAAACGGCGCUUUCUAAUACAGAGCGCUAAUGACGGUACCGUAAGAAUAAGCACCGGCUAACUACGUGCCAGCAGCCGCGGUAAUACGUAGGGUGCAAGCGUUAAUCGGAAUUACUGGGCGUAAAGCGUGCGCAGGCGGUGAUGUAAGACAGAUGUGAAAUCCCCGGGCUCAACCUGGGAACUGCAUUUGUGACUGCAUCGCUGGAGUGCGGCAGAGGGGGAUGGAAUUCCGCGUGUAGCAGUGAAAUGCGUAGAUAUGCGGAGGAACACCGAUGGCGAAGGCAAUCCCCUGGGCCUGCACUGACGCUCAUGCACGAAAGCGUGGGGAGCAAACAGGAUUAGAUACCCUGGUAGG